UGCGGGCUGGACCCGGAGCCCGCUGGGCCGGCGUGUCCCCGACGGCGCCGCGCCCACCCUCGGGCGGAUUAGUUGGGACCGUCCCCAAACUCCGUCUGCCUCAUUGAAGAAACAUUCCAGGGGGCUAGGCGAGGAUCAUCACGGAGCGAGGGGCCCCGGGCGGUGGGAUCUUCGCGAGUUCUAGGCCAGCCAAGGCCACGUAGCGCUACACCUUGUCUGUAGCAGCAACGACAACAGAGUUCUCUUGAGAGAAACAUUCCAGAGCACUUCUGGGGCAAUCCAACUGAGUCUUGCGGCUUUCACUGACUUGUCUCGACCUUCUGAAUCAUGCUGAUUCCUGUUGUUACUUGGUGCUGGCCUUUGGACUGGACUGCUGGUAUCUGGACAUGAAGAGUGGACUCACCCCAAGGAACUACUUCUAUAAAGGUCUACAACCCCCUCUAACUAAUAACCUUUCUCCCCUACCUCUGGUCAAUGGGUGGAAGGGAGGCUUUUAAGAACCCUAAAUAAAGUAGGUUUGGUGAAAAAUCUAAGCCUACACCUACCCUGAAGGAACUCAAAAGAAUGAGAGGGAGGAGCAGUCAACACUCACAUGCAGCCUGGUGUGACAUUAGUUGGCACAAAAGACAAAUGCUUAUGUUCUCUUCACCCUGCAUAAUUUCUGGGACAUUCUUGGGGUCUGAGGGUGAGGCUGCCCUCAAAGAUGAAAAGAGAGCAGAAAAGUUGGUGUAUUUCAGUAAUUGUGAAAGAUUUGCUGUCUAAAUUGUACAUAUUGUUACUGUGUUAGCCAGUGUUCUCUAGAAGAAUAGAAUGAAUAGAAGAAGUGUGUGUGUGUGUGUGUGUGUGUGUGUGUGUGUGUGUGUGUAUACAUGUGUGUGGAAUUUAUUAGAAUGACUUGCAAGCUGUAGUCCAGCUAAUCCAAUAAUGUCUAACCAAAUAAAAGUCCAAGAAUCCA